GGAAGUAAAAGCCGUAACAAGGUCUCCGUAGGUGAACCUGCGGGGGGAUCAUUACAGAGUUCAUGCCCUACCGGGUAGAUCUCCCACCCUAUGUUAUUAUUACUUUGUUGCUUUGGCGGGCCGUUAGGCUCCGGCCCGACUACCGGCCCCGGCUGGUAAGCGCCCGCCAGAGGACCCAAAACCCUGAAUAUUAGUGUCGUCUGAGUACUAUAUAAUAGUUAAAACUUUCAACAACGGAUCUCUUGGUUCUG
rnacentral:misc_RNA from 1 species